GCCCGGCCGCGGCGGUCGAAAUUACUUGUUGCUUACUUCCUGUCUUGUGUCGUUGUAGGCGUUUUCUCCCGGACAGACACGGCGAAACGUUAAUAGACGAUUAUCGUUGGGCAUUUUUUUUUUUUUUUUUUUUUCCCCCUCGGCAAUUUGACAUUUUACAUACUGGCGCGUUGUAAUACUUGUGUAUAUAUACGGCCAACAGAAUAACGUGUGUUACGCACGCCGAAAGCGAAAUAUUCAUUAAAACUAAAUAACGGCCGUACAGAAUUCUUUCGGACAACGCGUGCGGCACAUCAAAAGAACAUUGCGUCACGAAAGUAUUUGAAAGUCCGCACGGGUCCGGCGGCGCGUCGGCAUUUCCGGGCGGUGUUCAACGGAGCGCGGUCGGUCGGACGGCGGGA